rnacentral:rRNA from 1 species
UACGGAGGGGGCUAGCGUUGUUCGGAAUUACUGGGCGUAAAGCGCACGUAGGCGGCUUUGUAAGUUAGAGGUGAAAGCCCAGGGCUUAACCCUGGAAUUGCCUUUAAGACUGCAUCGCUAGAAUUGUGGAGGGGUAAGUGGAAUUCCGAGUGUAGAGGUGAAAUUCGUAGAUAUUCGGAAGAACACCAGUGGCGAAGGCGACUUACUGGACACAUAUUGACGCUGAGGUGCGAAAGCGUGGGGAGCAAACAGG